rnacentral:rRNA from 1 species
AGAGUUUGAUCCUGGCUCAGGAUGAACGCUAGCUACAGGCUUAACACAUGCAAGUCGAGGGGCAUCAGUUUGGUUUGCUUGCAAACCAAAGCUGGCGACCGGCGCACGGGUGAGUAACACGUAUCCAACCUGCCUCAUACUCGGGGAUAGCCUUUCGAAAGAAAGAUUAAUAUCCGAUAGCAUAUAUUUCCCGCAUGGGUUUUAUAUUAAAGAAAUUCGGUAUGAGAUGGGGAUGCGUUCCAUUAGUUUGUUGGCGGGGUAACGGCCACCAAGACUACGAUGGAUAGGGGUUCUGAGAGGAACGGUCCCCCACAUUGGAACUGAGACACGGUCCAAACGUCCGUACGGAGGCA